rnacentral:rRNA from 1 species
CUUGACACUGAACAUUGAGCCUUGAUGUGUAGGAUAGGUGGGAGGCUUUGAAGUGUGGACGCCAGUCUGCAUGGAGCCGGCCUUGAAAUACCACCCUUUAAUGUUUGAUGUUCUAACGUUGACCCGUGAUCCGGGUUGCGGACAGUGUCUGGUGGGUAGUUUGACUGGGGCGGUCUCCUCCUAAAGAGUAACGGAGGAGCACGAAGG